AUACAGAGGGUGCGAGCGUUAAUCGGAAUUACAGGGCGUAAAGCGCGCGUAGGCGGCUUGGUCAGUCGGAUGUGAAAGCCCCGGGCUCAACCUGGGGAUGGCAUUCGAUACUGCCAGGCUAGAGUAUGGGAGAGGGAAGUGGAAUUUCCGGUGUAGCGGUGAAAUGCGUAGAUAUCGGAAGGAACACCAGUGGCGAAGGCGACUUCCUGGCCCAAUACUGACGCUGAGGUGCGAAAGCGUGGGGAGCGAACAGGAUUAGAAACCCUAGUAGUCC
rnacentral:rRNA from 1 species